rnacentral:rRNA from 1 species
GGAUGAAUAUUGGUCAAUGGGCGAGAGCCUGAACCAGCCAAGCCGCGUGAGGGAAGAAGGCGCUCAGCGUCGUAAACCUCUUUAGCCGGGGGACAAAACCUCCUCGCGAAGGAGGCUUGAGAGUACCCGGAGAAUAAGCAUCGGCUAACUCCGUGCCAGCAGCCGCGGUAAUACGGAGGAUGCGAGCGUUAUCCGGAUUUAUUGGGUUUAAAGGGAGCGUAGGCCGGAGAUUAAGCGUGUUGUGAAAUGUAGUGGCUCAACCUCUGCACUGCAGCGCGAACUGGUCUUCUUGAGUACGCACAACGUGGGCGGAAUUCGUGGUGUAGCGGUGAAAUGCUUAGAUAUCACGAAGAACUCCGAUUGCGAAGGCAGCUCACGGGAGCGCAACU